CAAAAGUCUUGAGCUUAGAUUUUUGCUUCAAAAGGCAUUCUCCAACUCAAAUAGAUUGCCAAAGGAGCCAAUUAAGUCCUCAUUUUGUGAAUUAGACAAGGGUGUUGAGGUGGCAUAUUCAGAUUUGAUUACAUCAUCAAAGAAUACUCUGAAUUCUUUAUUGGAACUGCAGGAUGCUUUACUUGAAAAUAAUAAGCAUAUCGUCCAAGCCACCGAUGGAACUGCAAAGCUUUUGGAUUCUUCCAGAAUCUCAAAUACUCAAAAUGAAAAUGAUGAAGAUUGGUCCCGAGUUGCUCAGAUGCAUCAGAG
rnacentral:misc_RNA from 1 species